GCGUGCGCCGGCUGUAUUUUGAUGUUCAUUCCGUCGAUCGAACUGAAACAGCCAAAAUCCAGUUAGAUAAUUUUCAGAACAUGAAAAGGAUAGCUAGAAGCUUGAGAUCUUCUUCCAUUUUGCGACCUGAAAAUUAAGGCUCGAGAGUUGCACGGUUGGCUUGCGAUGGACGCUCGGAGAGAUGUAGUUGCUAGACAUGAGCGGCUGAGUGGCUAUAGAGUGGAGAGUAAGCUUGAACAAUGACUGUCGAGUGCCGACUGAGAAACAAGCGUCGAGUGGACAAAUGAGGAUCGUGGCAGAGAGUCGAGAGUCGAGAAACAUGGUGAAAAAGGACUGAUCAUCUGAGUUGAGGAGAGUCGAGUUGCGAUUUGUGAAUGAGAGUUGUGGCGGAGGAGAGGAGAUUACUAGUGUCGACAGUGAGAGUUGAGAACAAGGAGACCUCAGAG
rnacentral:misc_RNA from 1 species